rnacentral:lncRNA from 1 species
CUCUGCUUCGUAAAGGGCGUGAGACUUGACACUGUCAGCUAUAGUGACACCACAAGGCCUGAAGAGGGCUCUUAGCUCAGCAGGGAAGCCGCGGGCUCCUGACAUCUGUGGCCAAACCUGCGCUGCUCUGUGAGGAAGGAUGGGGGAGAGCCAGAGCCGGCAGCGCAGGGAGCACGCAUGUUCACAUACACACGCCACACCACACAGGGUCUCAUGUAUACACACACACCACACGCAUGCACAGUCACACAUGCACCUCCCCCAGCAGUCUCACACCCACAUCAUACACCCCCACCCAUACCCACUCUCUCUCACACACACACACCAUACACACAGUCACACACACCACACAAUCACACACACACCACACACCCUCACCCAUACCCAGUCUCACACACACACCACAUAGUCACACACACCACACCCCUAACCCAUACAGCCUCACAUACAUACACACACCACACACAGUCAUACACACCACACCCCCAACCCAUACACAGUCUCAUACACAUACACACACCACACAAUCACACACACCACACACACCCUCCCAUACACAGUCUCAUACACACACACACCACACACCUAGUCACACAUAUACCACACACACCCCCACCCAUACAGUCUCUCACACACACACACACCACACAGUCACACAAACCUCCCCACAACAGUCUCACACACACACCAUACACCUCCACCCCCACAGCCUCAUAUCCACGCACCACGCAGUCUCACACACACCACACAUAUCACACACUCCCAUCCCCACAGUCUCAUGUACACAUAUACACCCCACACACAUAGUCACACACACCACACACAGUCACACACACACCUCCCCCGACAGUCUUACAUACACAGUCUCACACACACCACACACCCCCACCCACACAUUGAGUCUCUGGUACACAUAUAACCACACACACCACACCUACCCCCAACUCUCACAUAAGCCCACAGUCACACACAUACCUCCCACACACAGUUUCACAUAUAUAUAUGGUGACACACACACAUUGCACAUAUACCCCUCAAAGUCUCUCUCUGUCUGACACACACACACACACACUCCUCAAGCACUUCAGUCCUAAGACACAGCUUCUUGCUCAGCCCCUGGACCAUUCAUACAGGGGUAUGGAAUCGAUCAAACAAGACACACAAUUAUCAAGGAUGGAGGAGGAAAAAAUUGAACUUUUGACACUCCCGUUCCUUCUGCUGUGCAGCUUCACCAGCCGGAAGCCGCAGUAGCCACCAGAGGGCACUAGAACGUUCCAUCACACCGUCCAUCAACACAUUUGUGUGUGAAGAGAAUUU